GGGCGUCGGAAAGCGGCCUUCUGGGACUCCGCAAACUCCCGUUCUCCCUCCCCCCUCCCCCUUGCCAUUCCCUUUGCCUUCCGGGCGCCAAGUCUCUCUGGCCUCCAAGGUGAACCCAACUCCCCAGCGCGCCCCGGGUUCCCGGGUCGGGCCGGCUUCAGGCGGUGGGGAGCGGGAUCCCGGGCCCCGGGCGGGCGGGAGGGACGGGACGCGGUGCAGUGUUGUUUUUUCCCCCGCCAAUAUUGCACUCGUCCCGGCCUCCGGCCCCCCCGGCCCCCCGGCCUCCCCGCUACCCCUAGCGGGGCAGCCCCCGCCCUCCUGGCUCUCCAUCCCGGCGGAUCUUUGAUAGACUGGAGUGUCGCCGCUGCCACCACGGGAAAAUGGGUCAUGGAGGAGUGACUUCACCAACAUCACUCAUAGGUGCUUGUGUCCGUGGUGAGAAGGGUGAUGGAGAGAAGUGGCUGCAGUUCCCACCCAUGGAGAGGUCACUGGUGAAUCCCAGCUAAAGAGGAAGGACAGGCCCGGCCUGAGUCCCACAGGCUUACCAUCUGAGUCCUUCUGAUUGGGAUUGGGUACCAGGCGGCAGUUAUCGGGACCAGGAGGCACAUAAUCUGGGAUGCCAUCAUUGUCAUCAUCCCCAUCACACUCAUCUCCAAGUCCAUCGUUAUCAGAGUCCAGCUGGGAGCUAUUUGGCAGCUGUGGGCAGUUGUCCUUGGUGUCCUGAUGCCCAUCCCCAUCGCUAAUCAGAAGAACAGGUUGGUGAAAGUCCCGAACUUUGUCUCCCCACCCAGAGGACAACUGGCCAGGAAAUCUGCCUGUUUCUUGUCUCACCCUCUAGUCCACACUCUGCCUAACACUACGCCCUACCUCACAUUCCUAUUGACAUCUGCUGCAGAUCACACCCUUGUGAUGGACAAACUGCUCAGUACAGUCCCACCCACCCAGCCUCCUUGUCCUGGGCACGAGGUUUUUGCCUCCCUGAUUUGGAGUAUUUGGCCCUUACUAGAGAGCUGCCAGAUGAGAACUCAGAGGCUCCUCCCGGCUCACCUGCAUCCUCAAAUACGCCUUCUGUCCAGUCCUAAUCUCCAGCCCAUCGACCUCCGCUGGAGGAAUGGGGGCCAGUGCUGGAAGGCCUGCAUGUUGGUCACCCAGUUUGCAGUCCACGUAGAGAUGUAGGGCAGGGCUGGGUCUGGAGGGACCUCGGAGUCGCAGGAGAACUGUGUGUGUGCGCCCAUCAGCCAGGCCCGCUUGCUGUAGGUUCACGGCGUGGACUUUGCCAUCCUCCCGCUGGUAUCGCACCAGUACUGCCCAGGAGGGGAGAUCAGUAUGGGCGCUAUCCCCCACCCCCUGCCUCCCAGCUGAGCCUUGGAUCAACUCUGCUAGAUACCACAUCUCUAGGGCCCCUAUCCCUAAUUCUACUAUGUGGCUCUCAACACCUUGUAUUUAAUAGGUACACAAUAAAUGUUUUUGAAAUUGC
rnacentral:lncRNA from 1 species